UAAACAGAUUUAUUCUACAUUAAUCAGUAAGUCAACGCACACACAAUAAAGAAAUAUAUUUUACCUCUCCUUGUUAUUUCUAUCUCAUUGUUUUAUUCAGGGUCUGGUAUUAUUGUUGGAAUAUGUCCUAAAUUAGAACUAUCUCGUAAAUUUUAUUUAUUUUCUUUGAAUUUGUUUCAUCCUCAGUUUUUUAGAUAACGCAAAUUUAUAUACCGACUCAAACUUAUAUUCCAGUUAAAUAUGAUUGUAAUGCUUAUCAAUAAAUUUUUUGAAAUACACAUCGAGAAAAUCCUAGGUGGCACUUAGUCGACUCAAAAUGUUUCUACUUUUACGCUCUCUAAAUACAAGUGGGUAAAGACCGUUUCGGAGACUUGCCACUUGUUGCAUUGUUCAGAACGAUUUGGGAAGCUUCGCCGUGCCCACUGCAGACUUGAAUGUUGGCAUGCGAUCAAUGAGCCGCCGUCGCCAGUCUGUCUGCAACGCACCUGGGUUCGAACCUUGCGCUGCACGUGCUCACUUCUGUCGGUCGUUUCUGCGAGGCCUCGAUUACGUUGCAUCAAGAAAUGGAGGCGUAACAAGAAAACUUGGCACUUGUUCUUUGUAGGCAUCCGGACGUGUUCUAUAAACCCUUCGAGAUAAUUAUUUUCUGAACAUAUUAGCAGUUUACACAUCCCAAAGAAAAAUAGUAAAAAGAAAAAGAAAGAAGAAAACAUUCGUACCAAAUGUUUACUGAAACUUGAAUCGGAUGAAAUCAAGUGAACUAGAUUACGAACUCGCAUGUGGUGGCCGUGAUGAAAACCACAUACAAGUGACGAAGUCAAGAUAUCUACAUCAUCUACUAACGAACUCGGGAAGUUAAGCUUCCUUAAAAGGAAAUGAACACUUAUUGGCACGUUUAUUUAUACAUUAUAUUUUACAAAAUGUGAGAACUAAUACUGAAAUCAUUAAUCUUGAUUUAUGUAUAUAUAUUAUAUGGAGAGCUUUAUUUUUUGCUUGAUUUAAUUGUUAGUUUAGAUCUAAAUAGUUUCUGUUUUGCGAUAUUUUAUCAUCCCAUUUCAAAGAGUUUGUUGCUUUCUCUAUAAAUUGUUAGAAACUUUAAUGGUAUAGUGAUUAGCGUGUCGGGCUGCGUAUCGGCAACUCCAAGAUUCGAGCCACGAAAUGCUGUUGAACAUGCUUCGCGCUUUCAGCUGUGGACACGUUAUAAAAGUAACAGUUAGUCCUGUUAUUCGGCUAGUUAAAAGUAGCCGUGUAUCUUGUAGGUGCUACUGAAUGGUUGCUUUCCUUCUGGUCAGCAGAUUGGAUAUCGAUACCCGUGGUGGGCAGAGCACAGAUAGCUCAUUGUAUAACUUUGUGCUUAAUUAGAAACAAACAAACAAGUUCUAAAUUAAGGACAGCUACGCCUGAGCUUCAAGGUCUUUGACUUGGCCGUUUAUUCCAUGUGUCGCAUAGGUACUGUUGAUGUUGAAAUACCGAUAAACUUUCGUCAUCUAAGAGUGAUUCUCCAUCAAUUGCCUGGGAAUAUUGAUCCCGCAUAUUGAAUAUUCGUCUCGAAUACGAUAUAACAGGAGGUUAUUUAUUUAGAUAUCAACAACUUAUAAUACUGAUUGGAUACAAUCAAUAAUAAAACAAUUUUAAAGCUUUUGCACUUCUCCGUUGAAAUGGAAAUAAAGAAUUCUUCAUUC